UACGAGGGGGGCGAGCGUUGUUCGGAAUUAUUGGGCGUAAAGGGUGCGUAGGCGGUUCCGCAAGUCCUGUGUGAAAUCUUCGGGCUCAACUCGAAGUCUGCACGGGAAACUGCGGGGCUUGAGUGUGGGAGAGGUGAGUGGAAUUCCCGGUGUAGCGGUGAAAUGUGUUGAUAUUGGAAGGAACGCCGGUGGCGAAAGCGACACACUGGACCUUGUCUGACGCUGAGGCACGAAAGCCAGGGGAGCAAACGGG
rnacentral:rRNA from 1 species